rnacentral:rRNA from 1 species
AGAGUUUGAUCCUGGCUCAGGACGAACGCUGGCGGCGUGCUUAAUGCAUGCAAGUCGAACGAAGAACCCGCUAUGGGUAACCACUGCGGAAUUCUUAGUGGCGAACGGGUGAGUAACACGUGAGAAACCUGCCCCGGAGACCGGAAUAGCCCAGGGAAACCUGGAUUAAUACCGGAUACCCUCCGACGAUCGCAUGAUCGACGGAGGAAAUGGUCCGCCGCUCCGGGAUGGUCUCGCGGCCUAUCAGUUAGUUGGUGAGGUAACGGCUCACCAAGACUACGACGGGUAGCUGGUCUGAGAGGACGAUCAGCCACACUGGGACUGAGACACGGCCCAGACUCCUACGGGAGGCAGCAGCAGGGAAUUUUGCACAAUGGGCGCAAGCCUGAUGCAGCGACGCCGCGUGGGGGAUGAAUGCCUUCGGGUUGUAAACCCCUUUCAGGAGGGACGAAGCGAAAGUGACGGUACCUCCAGAAGAAGCCCCGGCCAACUACGUGCCAGCAGCCGCGGUAAUACGUAGGGGGCGAGCGUUGUCCGGAUUUAUUGGGCGUAAAGAGCUCGUAGGCGGCUCAGCAAGUCGGCCGUGAAAGCCUGAGGCUCAACCUCAGGACGCCGGUCGAAACUGCUGUGGCUAGGGUUCGGUAGAGGAGAGUGGAAUUCCCGGUGUAGCGGUGAAAUGCGCAGAUAUCGGGAGGAACACCACUAGCGAAGGCAGCACUCUGGGCCGGUACCGACGCUGAGGAGCGAAAGCGUGGGGAGCGAACAGGAUUAGAUACCCUGGUAGUCCACGCCGUAAACGAUGAUCACUCGCUGUGUACCAGUAUUUGGUACGUGACCAAGCGAAAGCAUUAAGUGAUCCACCUGGGGAGUACGUCGGCAACGAUGAAACUCAAAGGAAUUGACGGGGGCCCGCACAAGCGGUGGAACAUGUGGUUUAAUUCGAUGAUACGCGAGGAACCUUACCUGGGCUUAAAUGUAGAACGACUUUCGCCGAAAGGCGAUUUUCCUUCGGGACGAUCUACAAGGUGCUGCAUGGUUGUCGUCAGCUCGUGCCGUGAGGUGUCGGGUUAAGUCCCAUAACGAGCGCAACCCCUAUUGUUAGUUACCAGCGGAUAAUGCCGGGGACUCUAGCGAGACUGCCACCGUAAGGUGAGAGGAAGGUGGGGAUGACGUCAAAUCAGCACGGCCCUUAUGUCCAGGGCUACACACGUGUUACAAUGGCCAGUACAGAAGGCUGCCACAUGGCAACAUGGAGCAAAUCUUUUAAAACUGGUCUCAGUUCGGAUCGGAGUCUGCAACUCGACUCCGUGAAGUUGGAUUCGCUAGUAAUCGCGUAUCAGCAAUGACGCGGUGAAUACGUUCCCGGGCCUUGUACACACCGCCCGUCAAGCCAUGGAAGCUGGGAGUGCCUGAAGUCCGUAACCGCAAGGAGCGGCCUAGGGUAAAACUAGUAACUAGGGUUAAGUCGUAACAAGGUAACC